rnacentral:hammerhead_ribozyme from 1 species
AUCCAGCUGACGAGUCCCAAAUAGGACGAAAGAUGUGUGAGACCUGAU